rnacentral:lncRNA from 1 species
GCAAGCCGCCCGCUCGCGGGGGAGCCAUGGCGAGAGGCCGCGCGGCGGCGCCCGCAACAGUGCCCGCGUCCGCAGCAGCGCCCCCGCCCGCCGCCCCGGGGCCCACCCGGCCGCCGCCCCCGCGCGCCCCGAGCCCUUGACGCCCGCGCGCCUCAAGCGAGGCGUCCCCCAGAGUGGGGCCGCGCGCGGGAGAGCCGGAGCGCAGCCUUAGCGUCCCCGAGAGUCUCGAACGCCCCGACGACCCCCGCGUCUCGGAACCCCGGACUCCGAGCCCAGGAGCGCCAGAGCGGCAGGCGGGCAGCAGGAGGCGGCGGCGCCAGAGCGGAGCCCCCGCGAGUGCCCCCGUGCCGCCCGGCCGGCUGCAGCGGAGGGAACCGAAGCCGCCGGGCGGCCGGGGCCGGGCCGAGAACGACGCGGAGGAAGCCCCCACCGAGGCCCCCCGGCACCGCGCCUGCUGCCGGGUUGCGCUCCGUGCACCUCUUGCGGACUCUCUGCCUCAUUCCUUGAAGACUGGGA